AAUAGAUACCCUGGUAGUCCACGCCCUAAACGAUGUCAACUGGGUGUUGGGGAAGCGAUUCCUUGGUACCGUAGCUAACGCGUGAAGUUGACCGCCUGGGGAGUACGGCCGCAAGGUUAAAACUCAAAGGAAUUAGACGGGGACCCGCACAAGCGGUGGAUGAUGUGGAUUAAUUCGAUGCAACGCGAACAACCUUACCUACCCUUGACAUGUCUGGAAGGCUGCUGAGAGGUGGCUGUGCCCGAAAGGGAACCGGAACACAGGUGCUGCAUGGCUGUCGUCAGCUCGUGUCGUGAGAUGUUGGGUUAAGUCCCGCAACGAGCGCAACCCUUGUCCCUAGUUGCUACGCAAGGGCACUCUAGGGAGACUGCCGGUGACAAACCGGAGGAAGGUGGGGAUGACGUCAAGUCCUCAUGGCCCUUAUGGGUAGGGCUUCACACGUCAUACAAUGGCCGGUACAGAGGGUUGCCAAAGCGCGAGCUGGAGCCAAUCCCGAGAAAGCCGGUCGUAGUCCGGAUUGCAGUCUGCAACUCGA
rnacentral:rRNA from 1 species